rnacentral:misc_RNA from 1 species
GUUGCAACGAAGAGAAAACCCGCUAAGGGAUUGAAACCCUUCUAAUUUGGUGCACCGUUGAGACAGUGACAUCGUUGCAACGAAGAGAAAACCCGCUAAGGGAUUGAAACAAACCGAGUGACUGCCAGGCGUCUCCUGCCUGCCGGUUGCAACGAAGAGAAAACCCGCUAAGGGAUUGAAACGGGAUUGAAGUAGCUCCCGGAAUUCUCCCGCUUUAAUGUUGCAACGAAGAGAAAACCCGCUAAGGGAUUGAAACAAGCCGAAUCGCUGGGUCAAUUGAACAUACUACGGUGGGUUGCAACGAAGAGAAAACCCGCUAAGGGAUUGAAACGCUAUCAUCAUCGUCACCGCCACCACCGAAUGAUGGCGUUGCAACGAAGAGAAAACCCGCUAAGGGAUUGAAACGCGGCUCCGUCUUCACGACUAAAACAGCAGAAGAUCGUUGCAACGAAGAGAAAACCCGCUAAGGGAUUGAAACGUUUAUCUUCCUCAGGUUCGAGUUCAAACCCAAUUUGUUGCAACGAAGAGAAAACCCGCUAAGGGAUUGAAACAUUCCUCAGUUUUCGAGAUUGGUUGGUGCUAGCCAUGUUGCAACGAAGAGAAAACCCGCUAAGGGAUUGAAACAAUUCUCUCAGACUGUACUGUCGUUGUGAAGCGUCGUUGCAACGAAGAGAAAACCCGCUAAGGGAUUGAAACCACGUUUGGUUGUCGGGCUGGCACGGUCAACCGCGUUGCAACGAAGAGAAAACCCGCUAAGGGAUUGAAACCAGUCCCAAGUAGCGCAGCAUCGUCCACCCAAGUAGGUUGCAACGAAGAGAAAACCCGCUAAGGGAUUGAAACUAUUUGUCACGGCAUUGCCAUCUGUAUCAGUAUCGGUAUGUUGCAACGAAGAGAAAACCCGCUAAGGGAUUGAAACUGAUUAUCAUUCACACACCAUGACACAUUCUGCUGCUGUUGCAACGAAGAGAAAACCCGCUAAGGGAUUGAAACUAACUCUCCAAAGUGUACAAAUUGCGGUUCUCAUGGUUGCAACGAAGAGAAAACCCGCUAAGGGAUUGAAACGCAGCCCCCGUCUUCACGACAAUAAAUCUGGUAUAAAGUUGCAACGAAGAGAAAACCCGCUAAGGGAUUGAAACGAAAAUGCAAGUACAGGAGUUGGUAAAACAACUUGUGCUGUUGCAACGAAGAGAAAACCCGCUAAGGGAUUGAAACAAUAGACAACAGUUUAAAGGAAUAGACAGUCUUUUAGGUUGCAACGAAGAGAAAACCCGCUAAGGGAUUGAAACAAUUGGAUGUAUGAGCAGUCUGUGAAAAAUGGGUUCGUUGCAACGAAGAGAAAACCCGCUAAGGGAUUGAAACUGCACGGAACUCUCGAAUAUCGAUAAGAUUACCUGUGUUGCAACGAAGAGAAAACCCGCUAAGGGAUUGAAACAUGACUCCGACAGAGGACCCAGUGAAUACUGUUGUUGCAACGAAGAGAAAACCCGCUAAGGGAUUGAAACACAUGGGCAACUGGCGUAGGGUUGACUGCCGUAGAGGGUUGCAACGAAGAGAAAACCCGCUAAGGGAUUGAAACAACACGGGAUGAUGUUCGAAAGCUACGCCGAAUGUUGCAACGAAGAGAAAACCCGCUAAGGGAUUGAAACCUGAUGUUUUGGUCACUGCUCAGAAAAACACGGCAGCGUUGCAACGAAGAGAAAACCCGCUAAGGGAUUGAAACCUGAUGUUUUGGUCACUGCUCAGAAAAACACGGCAGCGUUGCAACGAAGAGAAAACCCGCUAAGGGAUUGAAACUUUCAAAGCCGACGGCGAACAGCACUGCCGGCAAGUGUUGCAACGAAGAGAAAACCCGCUAAGGGAUUGAAACCUCUCAGCCUCAACGGCAUUCUUUGCAGCCUUAAUCGUUGCAACGAAGAGAAAACCCGCUAAGGGAUUGAAACUAUUUGCAUGAGCUAACCCACGUUAUCGCUGUUUAGUUGCAACGAAGAGAAAACCCGCUAAGGGAUUGAAACUCCCCGUGGUCAAAUCCGCUGUCUUAACUGUAUUAUGUUGCAACGAAGAGAAAACCCGCUAAGGGAUUGAAACAGCACGGCUAACGACGUGGUGGAUCUAAGUAAGCCGUUGCAACGAAGAGAAAACCCGCUAAGGGAUUGAAACUGGUUGACCGGUGAACUGGGAACACCGGGAACACAGACGUUGCAACGAAGAGAAAACCCGCUAAGGGAUUGAAACAUUGCUAUCAUUGGCUAUGUGCUGCUGCAACGUGUUGUUGCAACGAAGAGAAAACCCGCUAAGGGAUUGAAACCGCCGAGGAGGCAGUCGCUGCCGUGCUGUCUGUUCGGUUGCAACGAAGAGAAAACCCGCUAAGGGAUUGAAACACUCCGCGAGGAUAGUAAUUCAAAAUUGGUGAAAAGUUGCAACGAAGAGAAAACCCGCUAAGGGAUUGAAACGAUGAUCAGCCAGUUCAACAUGAUGAUCCAGGUCGGUUGCAACGAAGAGAAAACCCGCUAAGGGAUUGAAACGAUGAGUCGUGAGCGUAGAUCGUCUGUGGUUGAUUGGUUGCAACGAAGAGAAAACCCGCUAAGGGAUUGAAACGAUGAGUCGUGAGCGUAGAUCGUCUGUGGUUGAUUGGUUGCAACGAAGAGAAAACCCGCUAAGGGAUUGAAACACCACUUUCCUCGUGGAUUCUAACACGUUGAGUUCGUUGCAACGAAGAGAAAACCCGCUAAGGGAUUGAAACCCGGCGGCUUCGUCCAAGACAAUCACGGAGGGUUGGUGUUGCAACGAAGAGAAAACCCGCUAAGGGAUUGAAACACCAAUAGGUUAGUUCUCGCCAGUGUUCAUCAUGUGUUGCAACGAAGAGAAAACCCGCUAAGGGAUUGAAACACCAUCUAGAUCAAGACAGAAACCGGUCUGCCUCAGUGUUGCAAUGAAGAGAAAACCCGCUAAGGGAUUGAAACCCGAUCCACCGAAAUUCGUGAAGUGACUACCUGGUUGCAACGAAGAGAAAACCCGCUAAGGGAUUGAAACGAUACGAGUUUUCUAACUUGGUUCGGACGGUCUGUUGCAACGAAGAGAAAACCCGCUAAGGGAUUGAAACAGAGUCCCCGAGUCCGUCGAGAUCCGGGAGUCCAAGUUGCAACGAAGAGAAAACCCACUAACCAAUAAACCC